rnacentral:rRNA from 1 species
UACGAAGGGGGCUAGCGUUGCUCGGAAUCACUGGGCGUAAAGCGCACGUAGGCGGGCCGUUAAGUCGGGGGUGAAAUCCUGGAGCUCAACUCCAGAACUGCCUUCGAUACUGGCGAUCUUGAGUCUGGGAGAGGUGAGUGGAACUCCGAGUGUAGAGGUGAAAUUCGUAGAUAUUCGGAAGAACACCAGUGGCGAAGGCGGCUCACUGGCCCGGUACUGACGCUGAGGUGCGAAAGCGUGGGGAGCAAACAGG